UUCAAAAAGUAAUCUAAAUAUUUUAUUCGGAAUAUUACCCAUGUCUGCUAAAAAAACUACAUCUUACUAAAAUCUCUAACAUCUUUACUCGGAAUAUAAAAUAGCAAACUAUUAAUGUGGUGAAUUAUGAACUUGGGUUUACGUGGAAAGCAAAACGUUUUGAAAACCGUAAACGUAAUGCACGCAAUAGAAAUGGUAUUAUUAUAAUUGUCGCCCAGAGUGAACGACU